UGUUCAUGUAUGAUUUGGAUUCAGAUAUAUAUUGCGACAUGUUCAUGUAUGAUUUGGAGUCAGAUAUAUAUUGCGACAUGUUAAAAGAACUGUACAGUCUAACAUGACCACCAAUAUAACCCUGUAUAUAACGACUACUGUUUAUACUGUAACUUUCUAGACCUUUGCUGUAUCAUUGAUGUAGAAAGAAAUGGUAAAGUUUAAUGCAUCACUGCUGUACAGGGAGUUAAAAAACUCGUCCACUUAGACGUCCCCUACUCUUAAAACCAAAUGGGAUUAUAGGUUUCCUCGAUCUGUGUCCCUCUUGUACGUAAUGCUAAAAUUUGUCAUUGCUCUGUCGGCUUCAUUCCUUGAGGGAUGUUGAUCAAACUUCACACAAUGACCAUAAUAUCUUGGACAAGUGCGAGUUUCACGGCCUUUGGGUCAAGGUCAAGGUCACUUUUACUAUUUUCAGUAGGGGCUGGUAGGGAACAUACUCUUUAUAUAUCCUUGCUCUACAUAAUAUCACAUUGUGUAAUUUGACCAAGCCAAUGGUUUAUAUUGGAAGGUUGAAAAAUAUCUUUUUUUAUGAAAAGUUGUCUGAACGGCACGUAGAAUUGAUGGAAAUGUGAGGACUUCAUAAUAAGUACAUCAGACAUCAGUACAAUACCUUAUCAAGGAAGCUAUCAGAACAGAGACCUGGUUUCUCUCUCCUCUGUCCAGUACCAGGUGAGGUAUACAGUUAGCAUUCCUACGUGCCAUGGUCAGAAAAAAUCCACAUGCUACCAGGGAUCUCUGUGUUUUUAAGAUGCAAAUUAGUGAUUUUAAUAGACACCAAAGCUUCUUAAAUUUCAUUUUGUAUUUAUAGAUUUGUCCUUGAUUGUGCUAUUAUAUUUUCUUCUAUUUAUAACCGAGAUGUAGAUUGGUUUUAAAGCAAUGAUUCCACAGAAAAUGUGAUAUUAGAUUUAUCUUUACCAGUUAAAUUACCAUUUGUUUCUAGGAUAAUCUAGUUUCCUGGUCAGAGUUAAUGUAAAUGUGAGAAGGUGUAAUUGGUCAUUGUGCUUCUUUUUUUGCUUAAUACAUUUUAAGAUGACAUAAUUUUCAAAAACCGUAAUAUGAUAUGAAGGAUGCAGGUAAUAGAGCCAACACCGUACGUUUGGUUGGGUGGGUAGAGGGUUCUCCGCUGGAUACCCAAUGGUAUGCUGGGCGAUCGAGCAAUAGGAGAAAUACGAUAAGUGUAUCGAUCACAACAGCAGUCGAAGUGGUAACUUUCCAAACUUUUAUUAUUUCGUCGACCGGUUUCGCCUUAUGUAGGCUUCAUCAGGACAAAUUUUACAAAUAUUGGUACCCUAUUGUACAUGAAAUGCGGCUCCCAUCUAAGUCUAAAAAUAGUAUAUGAUUAUGACGUAAUUAUUUAUGAUGUUUCUCCCAUUAUGCGGGUGAUAACUAACACUAUACAAAGUUACAUAUUAAUAUUUUACCUAAGUUUAACUACAUUUAUAUUUUAGCAAGUCCAUUUAAAAUCUAUAAGCACUAUAUUCUAUUGUAUCUUCAACAUAAAAGCAUAAUGGUUAAAACAAAGGCCACACCAAGAAAUUCGGUAGAACAGCCAAGGACUCCAACUAAGAUACCGUGUAUCCUAUGCGGGAAUUCUUACGGAACAUUGAAGAGCCUAAGAAGGCAUGUCAACGUCAAGCAUACAUCAAACAAGACAUGGUACAGAUGUAAGAUUUGCAGGAAAUUAUAUGGAAGAAGAUCAGACUACAACCGACACCAAAGAAAUGUACACCCAACCUACAAGAUUGAACCAGAAAUCAUUCAGGAUAAAUCAAGGAAGAGGCGAAGAAACCAGGUGACAAAAGACCUUUCGAACAUCUUACAAAAUCACAACUGAGACUAGCCAAGUUCAGAAUAGUACCAGGGAAACAACUGAUAGGGGGAGGCCUGCCGGAGAAAUCUCGCCCAGUCCUGGACCAGGCAAUGGACCUUUUGAAGGCGGACCUGGCACUCAGCGAUUCAACCAGCACUACAUCCGAGCCAUACCAAAUCCAUCAGAAAACAUGGAAGUAAGGGACUACAAGGCUUAUAACUAUGUGUCAGAAUCUACAUCUACACUGUGUAUGGACGAACACUGAACAGUUUUAAGUGUUUUAAACAAUAACCGUGAAGGAAGAUACAAUAGAAUAUAGUGCUUAUAGAUUUUAAAUGGACUUGCUUAAAUACAAAUGUAGUUAAACUUAGGUAAAAUAUUAAUAUGUAACUUUGUAAAGUGUUAGUUAUCACCCGCAUAAUGGGAGAAACGUCAUAAAUAAUUACGUCAUAAUCAUAUACUAUUUUUAGACUUAGAUGGGAGCCGCAUUUCAUGUACAAUAGGGUACCGAUAUUUGUAAAAUUUGUCCUGAUGAAGCCUACUUGAGGCGAAACCGGUCGACGAAAUAAUAAAAGUUUGGAAAGUUAACACUUAGACUGCUGUUGUGAUUGAUACACUUAUCGUAAUAUGAUAUGAGAUACAUUUUAAAAAUUAGCGUGACAUACACUAUUAUAAUAUUAUUUUACUGUAGAAUUAAAUCUUUUGGGGUUUAAUGUACUGGUGUUCUGAAAGGUCUGCUGGUAUUUGAAACAUUAUAACUUUAAUACCAAGGUCAUUUUCUGUUGUAAACAUGUAUGAUUGUGUAUUUAUAUGAUAUGUAUGAUGUUGGUGUCGGACUGUUUGGUCAAAAUUGUACUCAUGUAAUACGGUUGCACCAGUGUUAUUGAUAAAAUAUCUGACAUUAGGUUUUCCAUAUUUCUGUACAUACUUUUUACUUAUAAACUUUUGACAGUUUAUUUCAUUUGAUCCUAACUGGAAGGAAGUAUAUAUAUUUAGGUGAUGGUAACAUGUAAAAUAUACUGGAAUUUCAUUAAAGUUGAAAUCAGGAUAUCAGAAGUUUAUAGGAUAAUGGUCUUACUUGUAAAACUUUUAUCAAUUUCAGUACAGAUAAACUGAUUCUAUAGUAGACUGAAUUUUACCAUUUUCAACAUAAUUAUGUAACUUAUUAUUCAAUUUCGAAAAGAUUUUCUCUACAUUAAUUUGGGAACCCCACACUUGAUGCUUGUUUGUUUUUUUCAUAAUAAUUGAUUUUGUGAUUGUCAAUUAGGUAAUUGAUCAGUGUAAUUUUUAUUUAGUUAUAUUAUUUUGUGAUUGAGCAAUGCAUUUGAUGAUUGAGUUGUGUAUUUGAUGAUUGAGUGGUGCAUUUGAUGAUUGAGAGGUGUAUUUGAUGAUUGAGUGGUGUAUUUGGUGAUUGAGUGGUGUAUUUGGUGAUUGAGUGGUGUAUUUGGUGAUUGAGUGGUGUAUUUGGUGAUUGAGUGGUGUAUUUGGUGAUUGAGUUGUGUAUUUGGUGAUUGAGUUGUGUAUUUGAUGAUUGAGUGGUAUAUUUGAGUUGUGUAUUUGGUGAGUGGUGUAUUUGGUGAUUGAAUUGUGUAUUUGGUGAUUGAGAGGUGUAUUUGGUGAUUGAGAGGUGUAUUUGGUGAUUGAGUUGUGUAUUUGGUGAUUGAGAGGUGUAUUUGAUGAUUGAGAGGUGUAUUUGGUGAUUGAGAGGUGUAUUUGAUGAUUGAGAGGUGUAUUUGAUGAUUGAGAGGUGUAUUUGAUGAUUGAGAGGUGUAUUUGGUGAUUGAAUUGUGUAUUUGGUGAUUGAGAGGUGUAUUUGGUGAUUGAGAGGUGUAUUUGGUGAUUGAAUUGUGUAUUUGGUGAUUGAGAGGUGUAUUUGGUGAUUGAGUUGUGUAUUAGGUAAUUGAUCAGUGUAAUUUUAAUUUAGACAUAUUAUUUUGUGAUUGAGCAAUGUGUUUGAUGAUUGAGUGGUGUAUUUAAUGAUUAAGUGGUGUAUUUAAUGAUUGAGUGGUGUAUUUGAUGAUUUAGUUGUGUAUUUGAUGAUUGAGAGGUGUAUUUGGUGAUUGAGAGGUGUAUUUGGUGAUUGAAUUGUGUAUUUGGUGAUUGAGAGGUGUAUUUGGUGAUUGAGUUGUGUAUUUGGUGAUUGAGAGGUGUAUUUGGUGAUUGAGUUGUAUAUUUGGUGAUUGAGAGGUGUAUUUGGUGAUUGAGAGGUGUAUUUGAUGAUUGAGUGGUUUAUUUGGUGAUUGAGUUGUGUAUUUGGUGAUUUAGUGGUGUAUUUGAUGAUUGAGUUGUGUAUUUGUUGAUUGAGAUGUGUAUUUGAUGAUUGAGUGGUGUAUUUAGUGAUUGAAUUGUGUAUUUGGUGAUUGAGUGGUGUAUUUGAUGAUGAAGCAUGUCCUAAUUAAGCAUUUGAAUUGCUAGGGGCAGUUAACGGUGUUUAAGUACUGGUUGUGUAUCUGUGAUAAGUUUUAGUGAUUAUAGUAUUUGUACUUUUAUAUGUUAUCUAUUUUAUUUUUAAUGUGCAAUUUAACAUUUUACAAGUGGUCAAUGUUUAUCACAUGUGUCCACUGACUGCCUUGUCAUUAUCACAUUGGUCCUCUGAAGGCCUUGUCGCUAUAUCAUUGGUUCUCUGAUGACCAUGUUGUUACCACAUUUGUCCUCUGAUGACCAUGUUAUUGCCACCUUUGUCCUCUGACGACAAUACCACAUUGGUCCUCUGACGACCAUGUUGUUACCACAUUGUUCCACUGACGACCAUGUCGUUGCCACAUUGUUCCACUGACGACCAUGUCGUUACCACAUUGGUCCUCUGACGACCAUGUCGUUACCACAUUGUUCCACUGACGACCAUGUCGUUACCACAUUGGUCCUCUGAAGGCCUUGUCGCUAUAUCAUUGGUCCUCUGACGACCAUGUCGUUACCACAUUGUUCCACUGACGACCAUGUUGUUACCACAUUGGUCCUCUGACGACCAUGUCGUUACCACAUUGGUCCUCUGACGACCAUGUUGUUACCACAUUGGUCCUCUGACGACCAUGUCGUUACCACAUUGUUCCUCUGACUACCAUGUCGUUACCACAUUGUUCCACUGACGACCAUGUCGUUAUCACUACCAGUGAAUACAUGUAUGAUGUCACAGAUGUAAACCACAUGUGCUACGGAAUAAAUUAGUAACAUAAUUACAAA